GGAGAUUUGGCGGAUGAAUCAUUCAGUGUGGAAGUAGACGAACAGGCAUGAUGAGGUUGUGCACAAAAGCUGGUUGGAAUGAUGAGGGUGUGACUUCAGUCACAGGAGUGAUGGAGAGGCAUAACACCAUCUGAGAGAUGUGAACAGAUUUUGUGAACAAUUUGGCAUGAGGAGAGAAAGGAACCUGAAGUUUUUAGCAAGGAAGACAAGAAAAUGGAGGCAAAGAACAUUGGAGUCACUCCCUGGCUACACACACUGAGGUGAUAACCAAGGUGCUCAAAAAGGGCCGGUGUGCCGCAGUGAGUGCCAGUUUGAAUGAAGGAAGCAUGCGUGGCCUGAAGCCUCACCGUGUUCCAGGCGUCCAGUUAAGUGCUCUGCACAUAAUAUCACACAUUGCGCUCCACGAUAAGAACAAAUUCUCACAUGGGAACCGAGCAAAGUGUAAUGGAUGUUCCCAGGAGCUGCCUAUGGGAUUCAAGAAAACUGUAUGAGAGGAGUAACAUUUGGGCUGGAAGCGAAAAUACAAGUAAACAUAUGUCAAAUGGGGUCUGGAAAGCAAUCCUCCACAGAAAGAAAGCAGAAUCUUCUGGGCAUUUCUGAGCAAGUGGACUUCCUUCAGCUGAGCACAGUCCUCAGGAGAAGCGGACAGGUGCAAAGUGUUGGAAGCCAACACUCACAGCAGUUGGGGGUUGGAGUGCUCUGGCUUCCAACAGCAUUGAAACCAACAGCAUUGACUACAGCGAGUUUCUCAAUCUUCAGAACACAUCCCAGCCUCCCUGGGGGCUGCUAAUGCACAGAUUGCCGUUUCCCACUCCAAGAGUUUCUGAUUCCAGAGGUCUGGGGUAGGGCUCGAUAAUUUGUUCUUCUAACCACCUAAUGCUGUUGGUCCAGUGACCACACUUUGAGAAAUGCUGUACUAUGUUUUCUCAUAUAUUUAAAAAUUCUCACCUCAUUUAUGGUUUAAAACUUCUAGAACAAUUCUGAAUAGUUUUUGUAAUAGUGAGCCUCACUUUCCUGUCUCUGCCCUUAAUGGGAAUGUCUCUAAUGAUUCACCUUUCAUACGGGGACUUGUUGUGGUUUACUGGGCAAUUCCUUUUGGCAGGUUAAAAAAAUUCCCUCUGUUUCAAGCUAAAGCCAUUUACCAGGAAGAGACGCUAAGUUUUAUCAGAGGGUUUUUCCAGUAACUAUUGUGAUAAUCAUGGUUUUUUUUCCUAUUUAUUACGAUAUCAAACAUGAAACUUAUUUGAAGUCCUGGAUUAAACGGUGCUUGUUUUCUAUAAUGUUUUGUUCCUUAAAUGUACUGACAAAUUUAAUUUAUUAUUUUUUUAGGAUUUGAGGUACAAGUUCAUACGUGAUAAUGACUUACUGUUUUGUUUUCAUUAUUUCCUCCUUCCAUCCUUUCUUGAUAUCCUUUUUAUCUCUUGGUUUCAAAAUUACACUAGCGUCAUAGAAUGAGUUGGAAAUUAGCCCAUUAUUCUCCAUGCCAUGGAGUGUUUUGCAAAACAUAAGAAUGAUCAGUUCCUUACAUAUUUGGUAGAAUUUACCUUAUAAAACACAGUAGGUUUUGUGUCUCUUCUGGAGUCCAGAUACUGCUAUGGACUGAAUGUUUGUACCCUCUAAGAUUCAUUAGGUUGAAAUCCUAGCCUCAAAGUGGUGGUAUUAGGAGGUGGGACUUUUGGGAGGUGAUCAGGCCAAGAGGGUGGAGCCCUCAUGAAUGGGAUUAGUGCCCUUAUCAAAUAAGGCAAAAGGAGCUCUUUAACCUCUCCCACCAUGUGAGGACAAAGUGAAAAGACACCAUCUAUGAACCAGGAAGCAGGGCCUCACCGGAUGCCAAACCUGCCAGCACCUGGCCCUUGGACUUCCAGCCACCAGAACUGUGAAGAAGAAAUUUCUAUUGCUUAUAAAUACCCAGUUUACGGCAUUCUGUUAUAGAAGUGCCUAAUAGGCUAAGGCAAAUACUAUAUGGUAUUUAGGAUUGCUUCUGUAUAUUUUUAAGACUUUUUUAUUUUGGAAUAAUAAUAAUUCACAGAAAAUUUACAGAGAAAGUCUCCACAUGCCCCUCACCCCACUUCCCCUAAUGUUAACAUAACCGUGGUCCAUUUGUCAAAACUAAGAAAUGAGGAUUGGUACCAUACUAUUGACUGAAUUACAGACAUUACUUGGAUUUUGUCAAUUGUUUUACUAAUAUUCUAUUAUUUCUGUGUCAGAUUCCAAUCUGGAUAACAUGUUGCAUUUGUUCAUCACGUCUCCUUUGUUUUUCCUGGGCUGUGACAGUUUCUUAUUCUUUUCUUGUAUUGCCUGGCUUUGAAUUUUGAGGAAUUCUGGUUAAGUAUUUUGUAAACUGUCACUAAAUUUUGCUUGUCAGAUGUUUUCUCCUGGGUUAGACUGGGCUUACAGGUUUUGGGGAAGAACUCUACAAAAGGGAAAUGUCUUUCUCAUCUCAUCUAAUAAAUGGAUAUAGGAUAUCAA
rnacentral:lncRNA from 1 species